rnacentral:lncRNA from 1 species
UGUGCUACAAAUAGCUAUAGUUUUGUGAAGUGUUAGACAACGUGAUAAGAUAACCCGAUAUUUCAUUUCUGCAUGGAGUAAAACAUGCUACUCUUCAGCAUUAUUGGCAUAACACUAUGUGUUCUCAGUCUGAAUGUAUAUGCCGACUACAACUGCUUGUGUAAUUACCGUGUAGAGACUGAAAUGCACGGCGCACCAUCUGAAAACUCCAGUCCGGUCGGGUACAUGUACGAAUUCGACUGUAAACCUGCUGUAUCUACUAACAAAUUGGAAGAAACAUGGUUUGCCAUCAUGAAUGAACAUUUAACGGCGUAUGUGAAGACGGACAGUGGACUCCAAAUGCAAGUCUGCCCCGGGAGUAUCCCAGACGAAGACAAAU